rnacentral:rRNA from 1 species
AUUGAACGCUGGCGGCAGGCCUAACACAUGCAAGUCGAACGGUAACAGGGAUCAGCUUGCUGAUUCGCUGUCGAGUGGCGGACGGGUGAGUAAUGUCUGGGAAACUGCCUGAUGGAGGGGGUUAACUACUGGAAACGGUAGCUAAUACCGCAUAACGUCGCAAGACCAAAGAGGGGGACCUUCGGGCCUCUUGCCAUCGGAUGUGCCCAGAUGGGAUUAGCUAGUAGGUGGGGUAACGGCUUACCUAGGCAACGAUCCCUAGCUGGUCUGAGAGGAUGACCGGCCACACUGGAACUGAGACACGGUCCAGACUCCUACGGGAGGCAGCAGUGGGGAAUAUUGCACAAUGGGCGCAAGCCUGAUGCAGCCAUGCCGCGUGUAUGAAGAAGGCCUUCGGGUUGUAAAGUACUUUCAGCGGGGAGGAAGGGAGUAAAGUUAAUACCUUCGCUCAUUGACGUUACCCGCAGAAGAAGCACCGGCUAACUCCGUG